GUCGAACGGCCCAAGCUUAAAAUAAAAAAUUGUCCCGAGCACGUCAUCCCCAACCUCUCGACCUUAUCCUCCCACCGCGCCGCGACGCCUGCCCGACCUUGCACGGCGCCGCCCCCAUCUCGCCCGACCUUCCACCGCGCCGCCCCACCCGGCCUCCCACCGCGCCGCGCCGCCCCGCCCCACCAGGCCUCCCACCGCACCGCGCCGCCCCGCCCGGCCUCCCACCGCGCCGCGCCGCCCCGCCCGACCUCCCAUCACGCGGCGCCGCCCCUCUCGGCCUUCCUACGCGCCGCCCGACCUCCCACCGCAACGCACCCUCCCGCUACAGGUCUCACCCUCCCUCGGCUGCAGGUCGCGGCCUCCCGCGGCUGCAGGUCACGAAUUCGACCUCGUCGCUGCACAUAGGGACCGUGGCCUCCCCCGCGUGUGGUCGCCUCCGUCCUGCUUCAAGCCCGUUUCCAGCCGUCCAUAGACCGAUUGAACUGAUGGGCUUGAUCCCCUUCGACAAUAGCAGCUUCACCAAUGUUGCCGUUCAAUAGCGCAUCGAUCUGAGGGGAGAAGACAAAACUAAAUGAUUCAGUUCAUCAUUGGCAUCCUUGUGAACAGUUCUGAAGAUAGCUUUCAGAGACUAAUUACGGUGAUAUUUCUCUCAAACUUUUUCUACAAAUAACCUGGGACUUCCACUGACUGUGCCACUGCUUCAGCGUCCACCAUCAGUGGCAUUGGCCGCCCUCUGAGCCAAAUCUUGGCGCUCCCAGCCGCUGCUCAUGAACCUCGCCUCCAUCAGCUCCACUUCACCGGAGCCGCCAGUCCGCAUGAGUAGGGGCAGCGUAUCCCCCUACAGCGGCCAAAUCCCGGUGCACCCAGCCGCUGCUCUUGAACCCCGCCUCCAUCAGCUCCACUUCACUGGAGCCGUCAGUCCUCAGGAGUAGGAGUAGCAGGGCCCAAACCCACUAUCGUGCAAGAAAAAUAAAUCAAAGGCCCCACCAUCAGCUGCUCAAAUCAUCAGGAAUCAAUGGUGAAAAAUUCUGAUUGCAGCAAUGGCAUGCUCCAAGCCCGCCGAGACUGAAUCAUUCGACAUCAAUUCUCUGCACAGCGUGGCUCGACGUGCAGCCCGCCGGCUCCUUCGUGUACGUCCAGACAAGAUGCUAUGGUGUACAAUUUAAUUCAUGAAGACCCGACCCAAACCAGCGUCGCCAUGCAUGACGCUACUAGCGAAGGACCACCACCUCCUCGACUACGUGCCCAAACCCGCCGACGAGGGCCCACCGCCCCAACCCUCCUCCUUCCUCCUCGCAUUCGGAUGAGAAAGAUCUAGGCCGGCGCCUAAAGCCCAUUCCACCAUUGUACCUCCCCCUUCCCCUCACUGCACUGGCCGGUGUGACACAGCGCCGCCGCCAAGGAAUUGAGGCUUCGCCAAGGAACAAGACUGGUAACUAGCGCAAAGGAGACUAUGUCGAGAGGUGGCACUGCUAGACUUGCUGAUGUGUAGUUAUGGCAUAAAAAAGAUGAAAAAAUGGUAUCUUGUAUGAUUCCAUAAGGUGUAUGUAGCAAAUCUUCCCAUGUGGAUCAGUACAACUUAUGUACGACCUUGAGUUCACAGAUCUUAUAGUAAUCUUUGUAGUACUUUUCAUAACACUAAGUAAAGCAAGAGUAGCCCUUUUUUGUGAGCAACAAUUCAAACGAAUCUGUUGUAUCAGUUCUUAUGAUAGAUAGAAGA